GGUUUUGACUAUAUUUUUAGGGUUUUGGUUUUAUGUUGGAUUGUUUUUGGUUUUCUCGGAUUUUAGAUUCUUUUUAAAAAAAUUGGUAUAUUUUUGAAUUUUUGAAUAAAUUUUGAAGAAAAAUUUAUAUGUGGUAGCUGACUCAGCAUAAAUUAAAAUUUUUGUAUUUGAAUCAACGGAAAGUGUACAUGUGGCAUUUGAUUUAGCAUGUUUGACCAACAUUAUUUCAGUCAAAGUUGAUUUCGGGUUGAGUUUGAUAGUUCAUGUAAUUUAUUUGAAAUAAAUGUUAGUUUAUGAUGAAACCG
rnacentral:lncRNA from 1 species